GAAUUGCGAUAAGUAAUGUGAAUUGCAGAAUUCAGUGAAUCAUCGAAUCUUUGAACGCAGCUUGCGCUCUCUGGUAUUCCGGAGAGCAUGCCUGUUUCAGUGUCAUGAAAUCUCAACCACUAGGGUUUCCUAAUGGAUUGGAUUUGGGCGUCUUGCGAUCUCUGAUCGCUCGCCUUAAAAGAGUUAGCAAGUUUGACAUUCAUGUCUGGUGUAAUAAGUUUCACUGGGUCCAUGGUGUUGAAGCGUGCUUCUAAUCGUCCGCAAGGACAAUUACUUUGACUCUGGCCUGAAAUCAGGUAGGACUACCCGCUGAACUUAA
rnacentral:misc_RNA from 1 species